UACGUAGGGGGCAAGCGUUGUCCGGAAUCAUUGGGCGUAAAGCGCGUGUAGGCGGCUUGGUAAGUCCGUUCUGAAAGCCCAGGGCUCAACCCCGGGAGGCGGAUGGAUACUGUCAAGCUUGAGUCCGGAAGAGGCGAGUGGAAUUCCCGGUGCAGCGGUGAAAUGCGCAGAUAUCGGGAGGAACACCAAUGGCGAAGGCAGCUCGCUGGGACGUGACUGACGCUGAGACGCGAAAGCGUGGGGAGCAAACAGG
rnacentral:rRNA from 1 species